UACGGAAGGCAGCAGUGGGGAAUAUUGCACAAUGGGCGCAAGCCUGAUGCAGCCAUGCCGCGUGUAUGAAGAAGGCCUUCGGGUUGUAAAGUACUUUCAGUCGUGAGGAAGGUGUUAAGGUUAAUAACCUUAGCAAUUGACGUUAGCGACAGAAGAAGCACCGGCUAACUCCGUGCCAGCAGCCGCGGUAAUACGGAGGGUGCGAGCGUUAAUCGGAAUUACUGGGCGUAAAGGGCACGCAGGCGGUUAAUUAAGUUGGAUGUGAAAUCCCCGGGCUUAACCUGGGAAUGGCAUUCAAGACUGGUUAGCUAGAGUCUUGUAGAGGGGGUAGAAUUCCGAUGUGUAGCGGUGAAAUGCGUAGAGAUGUGGAGGAAUACCGGUGGCGAAGGCGGCCCCUGGGACCAAAGACUGACGCUCGAUGUGCGAAAGCGGUGGGGAGCAAACGAGGAUUAGAC
rnacentral:rRNA from 1 species